rnacentral:rRNA from 1 species
CCUACGGGUGGCAGCAGGGAGGAAUAUGGGGCAAUGGAAGGAAGUCGGAACCAGAAAAGGAGAGGGCAGGAAGAAGGAGAGAGGAGGGGGAAACGGCGGUUGUACAAGGGUAAACCUGAAUACGUGUAUUCAGCUGAAAGUACUGUACGAAUAAGGAUCGGCUAACUCCGUGUCAGCAGCCGCGGUAAUACGGAGGAUCCAAGCGUUAUCCGGAUUUAUUGGGUUUAAAGGGUGCGUAGGCGGAUUGAUAAGUUAGAGGUGAAAUGUCCGAGCUUAACUCGGGAACUGCCUCUAAUACUGUUGAUCUAGAGAGUAGAUGCGGUAGGCGGAAUGUAUGGUGUAGCGGUGAAAUGCUUAGAGAUCAUACAGAACACCGAUUGCGAAGGCAGCUUACCAAUCUAUAUCUGACGUUGAGGCACGAAAGCGUGGGGAGCAAACAGGAUUAGAUACCCCAGUAGUC